CUUCCAGACAUUUUGAAUGCCCUGGAGGCUUUACAUGACUUCGCCAUAGAAAAGAGUGAUUCAGAGUGUGCAUCCAGUGCUUCAAGCCUCUGCCAGGAACUGAAGAAAUGGCCAUUUAUGAAGAAAGAAGCCCAUCACUAACUUCUGGAUAGCUAAGGUACAGCUCCUACAUCUGUGCAUCAUGUUGGUGUGAAGACCUGUGAGAAGACAUCAACAAGUAGGACUCUCUGUGUCAGAAGCGUG